GACGAACGCUGGCGGCGUGCUUAACACAUGCAAGUCGAACGGAAAGGCCCUGCUUUUGUGGGGUGCUCGAGUGGCGAACGGGUGAGUAACACGUGAGUAACCUGCCCUUGACUUUGGGAUAACUUCAGGAAACUGGGGCUAAUACCGGAUAGGAGCUCCUGCUGCAUGGUGGGGGCUGGAAAGUUUCGGCGGUUGGGGAUGGACUCGCGGCUUAUCAGCUUGUUGGUGGGGUAGUGGCUUACCAAGGCUUUGACGGGUAGCCGGCCUGAGAGGGUGACCGGCCACAUUGGGACUGAUAUACGGCCCAGACUCCUACGGGAGGCAGCAGUGGGGAAUAUUGCACAAUGGGCGGAAGCCUGAUGCAGCAACGCCGCGUGCGGGAUGACGGCCUUCGGGUUGUAAACCGCUUUCGCCUGUGACGAAGCGUGAGUGACGGUAAUGGGUAAAGAAGCACCGGCUAACUACGUG
rnacentral:rRNA from 1 species